rnacentral:lncRNA from 1 species
CACCACUCUGCAGUAACAUCUACCUGUUGCUCAGGCCAUAGACUUGAGGGUCAUUACCGGACUUUUUUAUGCCUUACCCCCGACAUCCUAACAUCACCAAGUCCAAAUGACUCUGCCUCUGAUGUAUUUCUUGAAACUAUUCACUUCUUUCCACUGCUAACCUUCGGGUCUGGAAAACCAUCAUCUUUUGCCUGGACAAAUAGAAAUCUCCUGGCUAGUCUCCCAGCUUCCACUCUUGUCCCUCUAAAAUCCAUUUUCCCUGGCACUCAUAAAGAGCUUGCUGAAAUACAAGUGGGAUCGUAGCAUUCUUCUGCUUUAAAGCUUCCAACAGAUUGCCCCUCCCCUUAGAAUCAAAAUCAAACACCGUUUUACAACCUGCAAUACGUGGCCCUUGUGAACUGGGCCCUGACAACCACCCCAGCACUUCCCUUCCCUUCUUGUCCAG